GCUGAAUGUGGGGAUAAUUUAUCUCCGUGUUGAAGCUAACGCGUUAAGCACUCCGCCUGGGGACUACGGUCGCAAGACUAAAACUCAAAGGAAUUGACGGGGACCCGCACAAGCGGUGGAGCAUGUGGUUUAAUUCGAUGCAACGCGAAAAACCUUACCACUCCUUGACAUGGAGAUUAGAUCCUUCUUAACGGAAGGGCGCAGUUCGGCUGGAUCUCGCACAGGUGCUGCAUGGCUGUCGUCAGCUCGUGUCGUGAGAUGUUGGGUUAAGUCCCGCAACGAGCGUAACCCUCAUCCUUAGUUGCCAGCGGGUAAUGCCGGGCACUUUAAGGAAACUGCCGGUGGUAAACUGGAGGAAGGUGGGGAUGAUGUCAAGUCAGCACGGCCCUUAUGGGGUGGGCUACACACGUGCUACAAUGGUGACUACAAUAGGUUGCAAUGUCGCAAGGCUGAGCUAAUCCGUAAAAGUCAUCUCAGUUCGGAUUGUCCUCUGCAACUCGAGGGCAUGAAGUCGGAAUCGCUAGUAAUCGUGGAUCAGCAUGCCACGGUGAAUACGUUCUCGGGUCUUGUACACACUGCCCGUCACGCCAUGGGAAUUGGCUUAACUCGAAGCUGGUGCGCUAACCGAAAGGAAAGCAGGCCAU
rnacentral:rRNA from 1 species